AGGGAUACUAACUUUUCUGUGAUAUUAAUUACAAAUGUGCACAUUUGUUGAAUGUGUCCUGUCCUGCGCAGUGUAUGAAUCGGCGUGGAUCAUUUAGAUUUAGAUAAACGUAAACGAUAAACGUAUUCGAUGUGUGCGACCGGUAUGUAAUUCAUGAUGUGCAUUCAAAUACAAAAUGCUACAAAGAGGACGUUAUGGAUGCAAAUCAGAAAUAAACUCGAAAAAGUUGUAUGUUAGUUUUAAAACUUCCUGGAGGAAAUGUGUUCUGGAUGACCAACAAUGUUAACUGUUUGGAUCUGGAUGUUCUUUUUGUAUAGUGCAGUGAGGUAUACCAACGUGGGUCCCCCGUAAUUGUAAACUUUCGUUGUACGUUAGUUUUCGUAUUGGGUAUUCUAAUUACAGUUCUACAGUUCCACCUAAGUCUUGUAUGUGGUCGAUUUUUAUGUUCCACGAACACAAUUCGUGCUUACGACAAGCACCACUAAUGCCAACUAUAAGAGCAACCUUUAAAUGUAAAAUAGAUAUGAUGUAACGAGUAACGAUUUGAAUGUGUAAUGUUAUAGUAGAUAUAAACUGUCGAGGGGGCUUUUUGAAUAAACAUUUUUACUUUG